rnacentral:rRNA from 1 species
GACGAACGCUGGCGGCGUGCUUAACACAUGCAAGUCGAACGGAAAGGCCCUGCUUUUGUGGGGUGCUCGAGUGGCGAACGGGUGAGUAUCACGUGAGUAACCUGCCCUUGACUUUGGGAUAACUUCAGGAAACUGGGGCUAAUACCGGAUAGGAGCUCCUGCUGCAUGGUGGGGGUUGGAAAGUUUCGGCGGUUGGGGAUGGACUCGCGGCUUAUCAGCUUGUUGGUGGGUAGUGGCUUACCAAGGCUUUGACGGGUAGCCGGCCUGAGAGGGUGACCGGCCACAUUGGGACUGAGAUACGGCCCAGACUCCUACGGGAGGCAGCAGUGGGGAAUAUUGCACAAUGGGCGGAAGCCUGAUGCAGCAACGCCGCGUGCGGGAUGACGGCCUUCGGGUUGUAAACCGCUUUCGCCUGUGACGAAGCGUGAGUGACGGUAAUGGGUAAAGAAGCACCGGCUAACUACGUG